UGUUAACUAGAUUUUUAUUUAUUUUUGUACUGGUAAAAGUUUCUGCAGUUUCUGAAAUCCAAGGUAGUUCCUGGCACAGGUUAUAUACACUUGGUGCAGCUCACACAUAACAUGUCACAGCAUCCUCCAAGGACAGUAAUGAUUCAUAUUCUCCCCUGGGGGUAGGGUACCACAGAGUAAAUACAAUUUGUACACCUGCCUUUAAUGAAAGACUUUGAUAAACAUAUCUUGUAAAAUCGACAACACAGCCAUAACUUUCUUUCCUACAAGGAUAUAAAUGAGCUUUUGCCUUUAUAAAAGGCGCACAUAUCCUGCAUCUCACAAGCAGUACUCUGACUCUGUGAGCAAGACAUCCUGAGGAAUUUCCUCUACAUAGUUUGAGUUAUGGUUUAACCCUUUCCAGAGCAUGCUCAGUACAGUCUACAAAUAUUGUAGAGCCCAUUAUGGCCCCCGUAGGGAAGCUAGGUUUUCAAAGGUGUCCAGUUAGACCUGCUGCUCUGCUUGAGCCACCUUGGGUCCCCACAACCAGGCGGCGCAGUAGCCUGGGAUAUGGGAGUCUCAAGUGGAGCAGGUCAGAGGAAUAGGCUCCUCCUGAAUGGACACUUUUGAAAAAGCUAGCCUGAACAUCUUAGAAGUUACUGCUUUCUCAACAGAUCUACACGUACAACCUCACUAAGGUUAAGAACAGUCGGUGUUCCUCUCUGAACAACUCCUCAGCCAUCCUCGCAGGAGGAUUACAGCUCACAUUCUUUUAGAAUAACUUUCUCUCCACAUGGUGGGAUCAUUUCAGUCCUUCUGGAAGAAGGGAAGCAGACAUCCGAGCAUAGUAACGCUCUGCUAAAGGAAAACAUUCUUCCUACUCAUGAGAGGAGUGGGGGGACUUGUACAGCAAGUCACGAUCUCCUCUGGAAUACGAGCAAAUGUCCAGGAAGCACAUACAGGUACUCUUGGUCUACCAAGGCCUCCCGAGGCUGCAGGAGGGUUUCGGUGCUGCUGGAAGCAGGUGCAGAAGAAGCACCAGAGUCCUUAGGCACCACUUGUGACCUCUGGAAACAGCAGAUCAGCUUCAGCCGGGUUUCAAUGUUUGCUGCGUGGAGAUUCAGGAAUUGCAGAGCUCCUUCUCAGGCAACAGGCAUCCCCUUCACAAAUAUCCUGCUGUAGGCUUUUGGCAGAUGCUGCAAAAGCUGAAAGGGCAGAGAAGGAGAGAAGUGUUACACAGGGAGACUCGGGCUGAGGGUUUGUCUAAAAGUAAGGGCAGCAAGUGUGAUGUACUCACCUCGGCUAUAUUUCGGUAGCUGACAUCUCCAGGUUGUUGACUCCUCCAGCUUGGAGUUGGGCUGGUGUCUCUGAAACUCCUUCCCCAGGAGCAGUUUCAGCUACUCAAUGCUGCGGUUAUUCCGAUCAUGACAGUUUCUCUGCAAUGGGUUUCCUGAGCUGUAACAUAAAAUGGGAAGAGGACGGUUAGCAGUGAGGCUUUCCUUCCCCAUCUCUAUAUAACUGCUGCUACAGGAGUUCAGCCCUUCUCAGCUCUUUGCCCUUGUGGUCACAGACAGCAGAUACUUACUCUAUUCUUCUCUUUGAGUGUUGGGAUUUCCAGGCACUGGGUGCCAUUAACCCAAGUGCUGGUUUCAGCUCGGCACUUGCUGGUUAGCGAGU
ensembl:lncRNA